GGGUUGUGAGGUUAAGCGACUAAGCGUACACGGUGGAUGCCCUGGCAGUCAGAGGCGAUGAAGGACGUGCUAAUCUGCGAUAAGCGUCGGUAAGGUGAUAUGAACCGUUAUAACCGGCGAUUUCCGAAUGGGGAAACCCAGUGUGAUUCGUCACACUAUCAUUACGUGAAUACAUAGCGUAAUGAAGCGAACCGGGGGAACUGAAACAUCUAAGUACCC
rnacentral:rRNA from 1 species